UUAUCGCUGAGGAGUCCCAUAAUAGGAUGAAACGGCCGUCCAGUAC
rnacentral:hammerhead_ribozyme from 1 species